UACGGAGGGUGCAAGCGUUAAUCGGAAUUACUGGGCGUAAAGCGUGCGCAGGCGGUUUGUUAAGUCCGUUGUGAAAGCCCCGAGCUCAACUUGGGAAUUGCAGUGGAUACUGGCAGGCUGGAGUACGGUAGAGGAAGGUGGAAUUCCCGGUGUAGCAGUGAAAUGCGUAGAUAUCGGGAGGAACACCAGUGGCGAAGGCGGCCUUCUGGACCAGUACUGACGCUCAUGCACGAAAGCGUGGAGAGCAAACAGG
rnacentral:rRNA from 1 species